rnacentral:lncRNA from 1 species
UGAAGUUAACCUUAUCGGAAGGGAAGAAGGGGUCCUGAAGUUAACCUUAUCAGGAAGAGAAGAAAGUUUCCGAAGUUAACCUUAAAAGUUAACCUUAUCAGGAAGAGAAGAAAGUUUCUGAAGUUAACCUUAUCGGAAGGGAAGAAGGGGUCCUGAAGUUAACCUUAUCAGGAAGAGAAGAAAGUUUCCGAAGUUAACCUUAUCGAAAGGGAAGAAGGGGUCCUGAAGUUAAC